AAUUUGGUUUGUUUCAUUUGUCAAAAGCAGCCCAUAGGGAAGAUGCCAGUCCAAGACGCUGCGUUUUGCGUGCUGUUUUAUUUUUUAUAGAGGAGCGACUGACUGACAUUACGGUAGCCGGAUGUCGAAUUAAGUCGCAAAGUGCCACGGAACCUGAACAGAGGCUAGGUGCUCUGAUUGAGAUUGGUAGAGGGUAUUUCUGCAGC